AACGCUAGCUACAGGCUUAACACAUGCAAGUCGAGGGGAAACGACAUCGAAAGCUUGCUUUUGAUGGGCGUCGACCGGCGCACGGGUGAGUAACGCGUAUCCAACCUGCCCACCACUUGGGGAUAACCUUGCGAAAGUAAGACUAAUACCCAAUGAUAUCUCUAGAAGACAUCUGAAAGAGAUUAAAGAUUUAUCGGUGAUGGAUGGGGAUGCGUCUGAUUAGCUUGUUGGCGGGGUAACGGCCCACCAAGGCGACGAUCAGUAGGGGUUCUGAGAGGAAGGUCCCCCACAUUGGAACUGAGACACGGUCCAAACUCCGACGGGAGGCAGCAGUGAGGAAUAUUGGUCAAUGGGCGAGAGCCUGAACCAGCCAAGUAGCGUGCAGGAAGACGGCCCUAUGGGUUGUAAACUGCUUUUAUAAGGGAAUAAAGUGAGCCUCGUGAGGCUUUUUGCAUGUACCUUAUGAAUAAGGACCGGCUAAUUCCGUGCCAGCAGCCGCGGUAAUACGGAAGGUCCGGGCGUUAUCCGGAUUUAUUGGGUUUAAAGGGAGCGUAGGCCGGAGAUUAAGCGUGUUGUGAAAUGUAGACGCUCAACGUCUGCACUGCAGCGCGAACUGGUUUACUUGAGUACGCACAAAGUGGGCGGAAUUCGUGGUGUAGCGGUGAAAUGCUUAGAUAUCACGAAGAACUCCGAUUG
rnacentral:rRNA from 1 species